rnacentral:rRNA from 1 species
UACGGAGGGUGCAAGCGUUAUCCGGAUUCACUGGGUUUAAAGGGUGCGUAGGCGGAUUUGUAAGUCCGUGGUGAAAUCUCCGAGCUUAACUCGGAAACUGCCAUGGAUACUAUAAGUCUUGAAUGUUGUGGAGGUUUGCGGAAUAUGUCAUGUAGCGGUGAAAUGCUUAGAUAUGACAUAGAACACCGAUUGCGAAGGCAGCAGGCUACACAAAUAUUGACGCUGAGGCACGAAAAGCGUGGGGAUCAAACAGG